UACAGAGGGUGCAAGCGUUGUUCGGAAUUACUGGGCGUAAAGCGCACGUAGGCGGCUUUGUAAGUUAGAGGUGAAAGCCCGGGGCUCAACCCCGGAAUUGCCUUUAAGACUGCAUCGCUUGAAUCCGGGAGAGGUGAGUGGAAUUCCGAGUGUAGAGGUGAAAUUCGUAGAUAUUCGGAAGAACACCCGUGGCUAAGGCGGCUCUCUAGUACGGUACUGACGCUGAGACGCGAAAGCGUGGGGAGCGAACAGG
rnacentral:rRNA from 1 species